UACGUAGGGUGCAAGCGUUGUCCGGAAUUAUUGGGCGUAAAGAGCUCGUAGGUGGCCUGUCGCGUCGGCUGUGAAAACUCGGGGCUCAACUCCGAGCUUGCAGUCGAUACGGGCAGGCUAGAGUUCGGCAGGGGAGACUGGAAUUCCUGGUGUAGCGGUGAAAUGCGCAGAUAUCGGGAAGAACACCCGUGGCGAAGGCGGCUCUCUGGGACGGUACUGACGCUGAGACGCGAAAGCGUGGGAAGCAAACAGG
rnacentral:rRNA from 1 species